UACGAGGGGGGCGAGCGUUGUUCGGAAUUAUUGGGCGUAAAGGGUGCGUAGGCGGUUUGGUAAGUCUUAUGUGAAAUCUACAGGCUCAACUUGUAGUCUGCAUGAGAAACUGCCGGGCUUGAGUAUGGGAGAGGUGAGUGGAAUUCCUGGUGUAGCGGUGAAAUGCGCAGAUAUCAGGAGGAACACCUGUGGCGAAAGCGGCUCACUGGACCAUAACUGACGCUGAUGCACGAAAGCUAGGGGAGCAGACAGG
rnacentral:rRNA from 1 species